rnacentral:rRNA from 1 species
AACGAACGCUGGCGGCAUGCCUAACACAUGCAAGUCGAACGGGACCUUCUGGACAGAUGCCUCAGGGGUGCGUUACUCGUGGGAACGUGCCCUGGGGGUGUGAAGAGCGCGCGGAAAGUGUUUCUAAUACGGGAUAAUGUCGGCGAACCAAAUAUUUAUCGCUUAUGGAUGGGCCCGCGUAGGUUUUGCUGGUUGGUAGGGUAUCAGCCAACCAAGGCGACGAUCCAUAGCUGGUCUGAGAGGAUGAACGGCCACACUGGGACUGAGACACGGCCCAGACUCCUACGGGAGGCAGCAGUGGGGAAUAUUGGACAAUGGGGGAAACCCUGAUCCAGCAAGGCCGCGUGAGCGAUGAAGGUCUUAGGGUCGUAAAGUUCUUUCAUAUGGGAUGAUAAUGACAGUACCAGAAGAAUAAGCUCCGGCUAACUACGUG